UUAUAAUAUUGUCUUCUAGGAGGCAGUGCCUCUAGGGAAUUACAUAACGCCACCAGCAGCUGUUGUAUAGAUUUAAACAGAAAUUGGGUUAUAAGAAAAUGGUUUUGGGAGUCAAAAAACUUGGUGUUUCUGCCUGUCUCAAUUAUCUGAUUGUUGUCAUUAUAGCCCCCAACUUAUUUAACUUAACUUUGUUCCUACAGCAGGUUUUGUGUCGUGGGAGGAAUUUUUUAAAGCAAGAGUAACUGAUUAUUCACAUUCAUUUCCCUAGGAUAUAAUGUUACACAUGAGGGCAGCCUGAAAUGAUGAUUUGGAAUCAGAAAAUCUAUGUUUGAGGGCUGGCUCUACCACUUAGCUGGCAAAUUUGGGCUGUCCCACGAAUCCCCACACAGAGGAUUUUCCUUCUUAAAGGUCUGGAAACGCUAGAUGCCAAGUGUGGCUGUGGACAUCCAGAGGAUGUCCAGGUAGACAGAGAGCUCUAAAUCUACGGAAGAAGCAAGGGCUGAACCCACAGACCUAGGGGUCCCCAGGGUCAGAUGGGGGUGGAAGCCCUAGAAGGGGAAGCUUGUAUGUUGGCCUCUGUGGACAUAUAUGGACUCCUCAGUUGCUGAAAGUUGCCUUGAUUGAUUUUCGUCAUGACACCCCGUUCUUCAAUACGGUCAACUGUCAUUUUCCCAAGAGAGCACUGUGUCACUACGGCUUCAAGCCUGAGCCCAUUUCCUGGAGCGUGUAAGCCCCUCCUGUGUGGAAAUUCAGGAGCUGGCCCUGGUCAGCGGCACCCACCGGUGAAAGGCGGGUAUGAAAAGGGAGAGUAAACAGAAAGCCA
rnacentral:lncRNA from 1 species